rnacentral:rRNA from 1 species
AUUGAACGCUGGCGGCAGGCCUAACACAUGCAAGUCGAGCGGAUGAAGGGAGCUUGCUCCUGGAUUCAGCGGAGGACGGGUGAGUAAUGCCUAGGAAUCUGCCUGGUAGUGGGGGAUAACGUCCGGAAACGGGCGCUAAUACCGCAUACGUCCUGAGGGAGAAAGUGGGGGAUCUUCGGACCUCACGCUAUCAGAUGAGCCUAGGUCGGAUUAGCUAGUUGGUGGGGUAAAGGCCUACCAAGGCGACGGUCCGUAACUGGUCUGAGAGGAUGAUCAGUCACACUGGAACUGAGACACGGUCCAGACUCCUACGGGAGGCAGCAGUGGGGAAUAUUGGACAAUGGGCGAAAGCCUGAUCCAGCCAUGCCGCGUGUGUGAAGAAGGUCUUCGGAUUGUAAAGCACUUUAAGUUGGGAGGAAGGGCAGUAAGUUAAUACCUUGCUGUUUUGACGUUACCAACAGAAUAAGCACCGGCUAACUUCGUG